UACGUAGGUGGCAAGCGUUGUCCGGAAUUACUGGGCGUAAAGAGCUCGUAGGUGGUUUGUCGCGUUGUUCGUGAAAUCUCCCGGCUUAACCGGGAGGGUGCGGUGAAUACUGAGGGACUAGAGUACGGGAGAGGAAAGUGGAAUUCCUGGUGUAGCGGUGAAAUGCGUAGAUAUCAGGAGGAACACCGGUGGUGUAGACGGCUUUCUGGACCGUAACUGACGCUGAGACACGAAAGCGUGGGUAGCAAACAGG
rnacentral:rRNA from 1 species